rnacentral:rRNA from 1 species
CGGUAAGGCCCUUCGGGGUACACGAGUGGCGAACGGGUGAGUAACACGUGGGUGAUCUGCCCUGUACUUCGGGAUAAGCCUGGGAAACUGGGUCUAAUACCGGAUAUGACCUUCUCCUGCAUGGGGGUUGGUGGAAAGCUUUUGCGGUACAGGAUGGGCCCGCGGCCUAUCAGCUUGUUGGUGGGGUAAUGGCCUACCAAGGCGACGACGGGUAGCCGGCCUGAGAGGGCGACCGGCCACACUGGGACUGAGACACGGCCCAGACUCCUACGGGAGGCAGCAGUGGGGAAUAUUGCACAAUGGGCGCAAGCCUGAUGCAGCGACGCCGCGUGAGGGAUGACGGCCUUCGGGUUGUAAACCUCUUUCAGUAGGGACGAAGCGCAAGUGACGGUACCUACAGAAGAAGCACCGGCCAACUACGUGCCAGCAGCCGCGGUAAUACGUAGGGUGCAAGCGUUGUCCGGAAUUACUGGGCGUAAAGAGCUCGUAGGCGGUUUGUCACGUCGUCUGUGAAAACCCGAGGCUUAACCUCGGGCCUGCAGGCGAUACGGGCAGACUUGAGUACUGUAGGGGAGACUGGAAUUCCUGGUGUAGCGGUGGAAUGCGCAGAUAUCAGGAGGAACACCGGUGGCGAAGGCGGGUCUCUGGGCAGUAACUGACGCUGA